AUUGAACGCUGGCGGCAUGCCUUACACAUGCAAGUCGAACGGUAACAGGUCUUCGGAUGCUGACGAGUGGCGAACGGGUGAGUAAUACAUCGGAACGUGCCCGAGAGUGGGGGAUAACGAGGCGAAAGCUUUGCUAAUACCGCAUACGAUCUCAGGAUGAAAGCAGGGGACCGCAAGGCCUUGCGCUCACGGAGCGGCCGAUGGCAGAUUAGGUAGUUGGUGGGUUAAAAGCUUACCAAGCCGACGAUCUGUAGCUGGUCUGAGAGGACGAGCCGCCACGCUGGGGCUGAGACACGGCGCAGACUCCGAGGGGAGGCAGCAGUGGGGGGUUUUGGGCAAUAGGCGCAAGCCUGAUCCAGCCAUGCCGCGUGCAGGAUGAAGGCCGUCGGGUUGUAAACUGCUUUUGUACGGAACGAAAAGACUCUGGUUAAUACCUGAGGUCCAUGACGGUACCGUAAGAAUAAGCACCGGCUAACUACGUGCCAGCCGCCGCAGUAAUAC
rnacentral:rRNA from 1 species